rnacentral:rRNA from 1 species
AUUGGAGGGCAAGUCUGGUGCCAGCAGCCGCGGUAAUUCCAGCUCCAAUAGCGUAUAUUAAAGUUGUUGCAGUUAAAAAGCUCGUAGUUGAAACUUGGGCCUGGCUGGCGGGUCCGCCUCACCGCGUGCACUCGUCCGGCCGGGCCUUCCUUCUGAAGAACCUCAUGCCCUUCACUGGGCGUGCUGGGGAAUCAGGACUUUUACUUUGAAAAAAUUAGAGUGUUCAAAGCAGGCCUUUGCUCGAAUACGUUAGCAUGGAAUAAUAAAAUAGGGCGUGCGUUUCUAUUUUGUUGGUUUCUAGAGACGCCGCAAUGAUUAACAGGAACAGUCGGGGGCAUCAGUAUUCAGUUGUCAGAGGUGAAAUUCUUGGAUUUACUGAAGACUAACUACUGCGAAAGCAUUUGCCAAGGAUGUUUUCAUUAAUCAGUGAACGAAAGUUAGGGGAUCGAAGACGAUCAGAUACCGUCGUAGUCUUAACCGUAAACUAUGCCGACUAGGGAUCGG